UACGGGGGGGGCAAGCGUUGUUCGGAAUUACUGGGCGUAAAGGGCUCGUAGGCGGCCAACUAAGUCAGACGUGAAAUCCCUCGGCUUAACCGGGGAACUGCGUCUGAUACUGGACGGCUUGAGUUCGGGAGAGGGAUGCGGAAUUCCAGGUGUAGCGGUGAAAUGCGUAGAUAUCUGGAGGAACACCGGUGGCGAAGGCGGCAUCCUGGACCGACACUGACGCUGAGGAGCGAAAGCCAGGGGAGCAAACGGG
rnacentral:rRNA from 1 species